GACGAACGCUGGCGGCGUGCUUAACACAUGCAAGUCGAACGAGAGCGUAGAGAUAGCUUGCUUUUUCUACAAUCUAGUGGCAAACGGGUGAGUAACGCGUAAACAACCUGCCCUACGGAUGGGGACAACAGCUGGAAACGGCUGCUAAUACCGAAUACGUUCCGAAAGUCGCAUGACUAUCGGAAGAAAGGAUGGCCUCUAUUUAUAAGCUAUCGCCGGAGGUGGGGUUUGCGUCUGAUUAGCCAGUUGGAGGGGUAACGGCCCACCAAGGCGACGAUCAGUAGCCGGUCUGGGGGGAUGAACGGCCACAUUGGAACUGGGACACGGUCCAGACUCCUACGGGAGGCAGCAGUGGGGAAUCGUCCGAAAUGGGCGAAAGCCUGACGGAGCAACGCCGCGUGAGUGAAGACGGCCUUCGGGUUGUAAAGCUCUGUUAUACGGGACGAAUAAUCUUGUGGUUAAUACCCAUGAGAAGUGACGGUACCGUAAGAGAAAGCCACGGCUAACUACGUG
rnacentral:rRNA from 1 species